CUCUCUACUGCCUCCAAUUUUUCUCACGAGGAAUGUGAGAGGAAAACCUAGAGCUUGUUCCUGAAGCAUGGUGCUAAGUCCAUAUGCAGCAGAUGGAGCUCAUGAGAAAAGAGUUGCUCUUGUGAAGACCAAAGCUUGGUGAGGUGUCAGAUCCCCGGCGAUGGAAAGCAGUCAACUCAUGGGUAGUAAAAAGAAUGUAUUGACAACACUAUAGGUUUGAAAAGGAAAGUUUUAUUAGAUGGAAAGAACAGUGCAGAAGACCGCAGCAGAGGACCUCAGCAAGAGAGAACUAAGUAUAUCAUGGUGGAUUUUUCCUAAGGGAAAUGGUCAAUUACAAAGCACAACAUAAGACUGGAACAUUGGAGUUAAGUAGCAGAGAUCAAAAGAGGAGAUUGCAGAUGGAGGUGUUGUAUGUGACUGUUUUACAUGGAUUCUUCGCUCUGGUAGCAGAUGUUGAAGAAGCUCUAUGAAUGUCCUGUCUCUAUGUCCCAGUUUGUCAGUUUCAAAUACUCAUGUAUCUGAUUGUCAAUGCUGGAGAGCUGGGGCCAGGGCAGUAGUUGAUGAAUAUCACCUGACUGUCUCCUGCAGAAAAAGCAUUCCCAGAAGCACGGAGAAGUGAGGAGAAAAGGCAAUGCACCUGGAGCUGGAGACCAAGGCCCUGUUCUUACUGAUGGCCCUUGGAGCAGAUAUUUGAAUUGGAGAGAUAAAACCGUGGUUUUUGGGGUGUUAAUUUUGGUGGCUGAUGCAUUCUGUGAUUGAUUUGGCUAUUACAACUGGUAUUGAUUUUAAACACAUUAAUUGCAAAAUCUCAAUUGUGAUUUGAUUUCUGUAUUUACAAUACUAAAAACGAGGCUUUCGCCAGGAGAAGACAAUUGGCAGUACUCAGUUGGAAGUGCUUAAUUGUUAAUAUAUAUCAGCCGUGGUUCUUCAGCGUCGUCAGUGUUGCUCAGUCUUGCUCUUUGUGGCGACUACUGAAUGCUUGAAAAAUUCUCUCCUAUACUCCCACUCUGCACUGUAGAAGAGAAAGAGAGGAGAGUGGAAGAAAAAAGAGAGGGAGAGGAGAAAGAAAGAGAGGAGAGAGAAACAUGGGCAUGGAUGAUACAUAAGGUAGUUGUAAACUGUGAUCAGCUUUGAUAAUAACUAGAUAAAUUCUUUUAAUACAAAAAUAUAUAAGGCAUUUUGCCUUUUUUUCAAAUUUCAAAUAAAUGGAUUUGUAUAGAAUGUAGUCUGUUGCCCAGAGUUUUCAUUUAGCAUAAUGCAUUUGAGAUUUAUCCAUGUUGUUGUAUAUUCUUUUUAUUGCUGAGUAGUAUUCCAUUGUGUGGAUAUACCAGUUUGUUUAUCCAUUAACCUUUGAUGGAUAUUUGGGUUUUUUUCAAUAUGAGGCUCUUAUAAAUAAACCUUCUGUAAUCAG
rnacentral:lncRNA from 1 species